rnacentral:rRNA from 1 species
CCUACGGGUGGCUGCAGUGAGGAAUAUUGGUCAAUGGACGCAAGUCUGAACCAGCAAAGUAGCGUGAAGGAUGACUGCCCUAUGGUUUGUAAACUUCUUUUAUAAGGGAAUAAAACGAGGCGCAUGUGCCUUUUUGCAUGUACUUUAUGAAUAAGGAUCGGCUAACUCCGUGCCUGCAGCCGCAGUAAUACGGAGGAUCCGAGCGUUAUCCGGAUUUAUUGGGUUUAAAGGGAGCGUAAAUGGGUUGUUAAGUCAGUUGUGAAAGUUUGCGGCUCAACCGUAAAAUUGCAAUUGAUACUGGCAGUCCUGAGUACAGUUGAGGUAGGCGGAAUUCGUGGUGGAGCGGUGAAAUGC